UCCUGUGCUAAGAUUAAAUAACUCCAUCGGUUAAGUGGCAGCAACCCAGUCCAAACGAUUUUAAGUAAAAAGGUAACUUAUUAGGUCAAAUCAUUACGGAUGGCUUCAGAGAUGGCUGGAGUCUUGGUUAACAGGCCUCCCCUUUUCAGACCUGGAACAUGCUCUCUCCACAAGCAGCCACCACAGUCCCAAACUUCUCAAACUCAACCCCAACAUUCAGCAGAGCCCCCUUGGGAGCAUCUGAGUGCUCCGUUCUGACACAUUCAUUCUUCAUCUGUGAGUCAGUUACAGCAGCCAGAGACUCGGGAUUCUGACUGGCAGUCUUGGGCGGGGUGGCCCAGGCGGAAGAGGGCUCCGCUCUACCUGCAGCACACAGAACAGAGUUCCCUAGGGCAUGUGGCGGGGGGGAGGAAGUGUGCACAUGAGCAGUCCAAAUAUGGCUUUCUACCCCUGCCCCUUACCCUCAACUCAUAUCUCUCAUUCAUCAUAAUUGAUCCUAAAAGUUAGUGAACAAAAGAGUAGUUUAUUCUAGACGAGUGGACAAGGAAGGCAGUGGCUGAAGAGUUUGGAGAAUAUGGGGUUCAGAGUGGUUCCUUGGUAGACAGCCCCUUCAUAGGCUGGGAAUCUUGGGACUCCCCCAUUCCCAGGGCUGGUGUAACAGAGAGCACUGUGGUGCAGGGUCACCUUGACCACCGCCUGGUGACCGACCGCAUCUCUGAUGGCUGGAACUCAGAAGCCUGACAUCAGGCAGGGGCUCUCCCUGUCCUGUGUCUGAUUGUGGCCUCUCUUUCUCAAUCUUUCCCUGGACCGUUCUGCUUCCACUGGGCAGCCCACAGUUUCUUGCAAACUGACCAGCUCAUCAGAGUGGAACCUUCCAGAUCAAAAAGGGAAUUUUUAUCCUUUUGAGACAGGGCUUCGUAUAGGCCAGACUAGACUCAAACUUGAUUUGUAGCCAGGACGACCUUGAAUUUCUGAUCCACCUACCAAGGUGGAUCUCCCGAGUGCUGGGAUUAUAGGCUCAUGCAAUCACACCCCAUUAAAGUGCCAGGCUUGAGCCCAAUGCUUACGGUAGCUCUGCAAGCGCUCGACUGACUGAGCCACAUCCCCACUCCCAAAGAAGACAUCUCUAAGAAUAUUUUGUCUAUUGGUUUGUUAAUUGUUGGGCAACAAAUUACUAGUAAGAGGGCAACUUUAGACAAUACAGGCAUUUAUCCUCUCUUACUGUCCUGAUGAGAUCAGGUAGCUCAAUGGUGUCUUCCCAGCGGGCCCCAGGAGGCUGCAAUCCAGUGUUAGGCAGACUGCAAUCUCACUGGGAGGCUUGACUGAGGAGAGGAGAGGGUCGUUUCCAACCUCUUGUAGACAGUGUGUAGAAUUCAUUCCUUUGUGACUGCAUAAGGGAGGGUCUUGGCUUUAUUUUUCCUGUGGGUUGGGGGACCAUCCCCUGAGAUCCAAAGUCUCCCUUCCACAGCUCUUUGCCACAUGGGCCCCCAGCACAGGAGUGCUUGUUUAUAAGCCAGCACAGAGGACCUCCUUCCAGACGUCACACGGCAUUUAUAAAGGACCAGAGCUGUGAGACUGACAUCUUCCCUCUCUUGCUGUUUAUACCACAAUGAGACCACAAGAAGGAUGUCCCAUGUCCUCUACUGGAGUGUAACAGUUAGACGCAGCCACCAUUCUAUGAGGGAGUCAACCAAAAAAGAGUAGAUGCUCCAGUGGAGGGCAAACUGAAAAGACCCGGGAUCACGCGGAUAGAAGUCGCCGAUGGCAGCCAAGCCAGGAACAAGGACCCGUGUCUUCAUAGUAGCUCUGCUGGCCUCACAGUGGCUGGCUCUCUGGACCCCGUGACAGCUGCCCGACUUUUGCUCCUGUCCCAUCUGUCUUCCUCAGCGGCAGCAACCAGGCAGCUGCCGCCUCCCUCUCUUCCUCUCCAUGCUCUUCUUCCUCCCUCCACAGGCACAUGUGGGGUUCUGGAGCUCUCCAUGCCCCCCAGGAACUGAGGAAGACUCUGUCAUGUUGUCACCUAUGGUUUUGGUUUGAACACCCUGCCCAAGACGCUCCGUCUUUCAAAGCGGCUAAUGGAGGCACCUCCUAUCUCCCAGGGCCGCGCUGUCAGGACAGAGUGAGCUGCUGUUGGCCCAGCCUUUCGCUUGGCAUCUGGUGAGCUGUCAUGUGAUGCUGGCAUUGGUUAAAUGAAGCACAUUACACGGCGAAGCGAGGGUGACCUUGGCAGUAAGUUAGAAAUACAUCACUUUACAUUCCAGCCUCAGCUGUCACAAACCCCUCAGCUCCCGACAGUCCCCCACAGUUGGACCCGCUCACUCAUGUGCUUUCCUAGUGGUCCUUUGACCUUGUGAUGGCAACAGGAGUCUGGCCACAUAGGUCCCUGCUGCACACUCGACCUCUUAGUGCUACCAGGCUACUCUGUCCUGUCCUCUUCAGACAGACCCUUUCCUCCAUUUCCCAAGAACCUCUUCUCCAGUGAGCCCCUCACCAAAGCGGCUUCCUUCAACCUCGGGCCCUUCCCCUGCUUCUCCUAACUUCUGGACCGCGCUCCCUAGACAGCCCACCCUUUCUGUAGCCGCCUCCUACUCACCCCUUGGGUGUUGGCUGGCAUAUCACUCCUGCAAAGAAGACUUUCUGGCCCUACACAGAAAGAAGAGAUCUUGAGAGAGGGGGGCACAUCGCUGCUGCUGUGUUUAACUAUUGUAUCAAGGAGACUGCCAAAGCCAGGCAUGGCGCACGCCUUCGAGCUCAGUGUUUGAGAGGCAGAGGCAGGUGGAUCUCUGUGAGUUCUAGGCCAAGCUGGUCUACAUAGUGAGACCCUGUAUCAAUAAGCAAACAAGCAAACAAAAAAUGAUGAUAGGUUAUAAUAAUGAUAAUGAUGAUAAUGGCUGGAAGGUAUUACCAGAGUUUACUUGAUUGCCACAUACAUGCUGAGUCCCUGUCAGAGUCCAGACAGUUGUCCUGGCCUUAACUCUACAGCAGUGAACAGUACAGACAGAACCCGUGCUCUUGGUGAAUGCUCUCUGUAGUGAUUAUUUGAUUUUGCCUGACUAUCAGCCCCACAAGGAUAGGCACCCCAUGCCAGCCUUUGCAGCUCUCUGUUUCCCUGGUCUCUAACUUGCACAGUGCCUGGCCCCUGGGAUUCAACACCUUUUUGUUGGGGACAAGCCAAAAGACCAUGGCUGUCUUCCUUGAGAGAGGAGACGGGAUUUGGGGCACGGUCUCUUGUGAGGCACACAAAGGUCUGCUCUAAACUAAGGGCUGGCAGGAAAUGGAGGUGCUGACAAGCAGUUUGACAGGUUAAAAGAGAGGCAGCCCCACCCAGGCUGGCGGAAGGUGGUUGUGGUUUCUUUGGUAAGCAAUCACCCCCAUCUCUUGCUCUUUGCCUCUGGUUCCUCUGGCCAUGUAACCAGGCAAAUCUUCCAGAUUAGCUGAGCCUCUUUUGGGGGAUGGGAAGGGGCAUUCCUUCUUGUGUGGAUAGCGCUGUGACUCAUCUGGGGAAACAGUUUCAAGCCAGUGGUUCACCCCAGGCUAGUUCUUGUCUCAUUUCCCCGAGGGCCAAUCGGCCUCUUAAUUUCACUCUGAGGUUUAGAGUUUCCCUCCAGCACUCAGAGACUCAGCCAGGAUGCUUUGCAUAAGUGUGGGAAGCCUUGGAGCUUGGAGAGGGAAUAGCCUGGGGAACCGGGAGGCUGCCGGGGAUGCUCCUGCAGACCCUUCCUUUGAAGGAUGUGGCUUCCAGCCUCAUGCAAGCCCAGUGAUCUCUUCCUAGGCACUUUGUAAAAGAUUCCAACAGAAGAAAAGCCAAAGGAGGCAUAUAGCUGUCCAUCCCCGUGAGCAAGUUGGGGAGAGGGACGAGCAUGAAAGUGCAGGUGACCCUAGGCAAAUGACAAGUGGCAGACUCUAUCUUUUGCAUGGAGCAGCCGUGGGGCUUGAUCGGCAGCCCACAUUUCAUAAUUUGUGGGGGAGGGUAGGAAUAGUUUGAGACAGGAUCUCCAGCAGCCCGGACCACGGGGUCUGGAACUCACUAUGUAUUGAAGGAUGACCUUGAAUUUCUGAUCCUCCUGCCUCUACCCCCCAUGGAUCAUGCCCCCUCCCCCACUACAAAUGCUUUGUAAAUAAGUUGGAAGAGCCUAGCUCUCUGAGCACAUUCUCCUGGUUCUGGGCCGGGCUCCAUCAUUUCCGUCCCAUUAACAAUGGUUUCUUCCCCCCAUGGGUCGGCCCUGUAUUGGACACCUGCAGUACAAGGCCCAAAGGAGGUAAUGACUGCUCAUUUGUCCCUGAGAAAGGCUGGGAACGCCUCUGAUCUGUGUUUUUCCUGUAUGGAAAUCUCCUGUGCCUACUUCAGUUUCAUGAGGGAUGGAUGACACCAGGCAGGCUGUUCGCCUGACAGACAUCACCUUCAGCUGCUUGUGAACAACCUGCUUGCUAGAUGGCUAGAUGCCUCGUGGCCUUGCCAGAAUCCCUGAAGCCUCCCAGCAGCUCCAACGGAGUCUGCCCUCUGCUUUUCCCAGGAGCGUCAGCUGAACCACAAGUAUCUGUGACUUGUUCCUUGUGUUUGUUUCCUUUUGCAACCCAAAUUGACCAUUCCUCGAUACAGUGGAAUAUUGUGAAAUUUAGAGGGGGAAAUCCUGUGAAAACAGGAUGGUUGCUCUUCGGUUUGUGUUUUCGCUCCACAAGAAACAGCGAGACUAGAAAUGACCUCUUGUGGGUUUGGCUUCCUCGGGAAAGGCGCUUUCAAAUGACAGGCUGUGUGCAGGCCAGAGGAAGAUGCUAAGAUGUCCUGCCCUGGCACUCGGCUGUGUUCCUUCUGACAGGGUCUCUCACUGAACUUGGAGCUAGGCUGGUGGCCACAAGUCCCAGUGACCCCUGUCUUCAUCCCUCACAGUGCUGGCUGGGGUCACAUUGGUAAACGUGAGGUUACGUUGGGUCCUAUCUCUCCUGCUGGCUUGGACGAUCGGACAACCACGUAGCUCAGUUUUGGUGACGUGAAACUUCAGUAUAAGUUAACCAUGCUGAUGACUCUGCACCAUCAGCACUCAACAUGGAAUCCUAGUCCAAGACCUCCUCUAAUUUAUGUGCAAGCACAUCAUUCCAAGCAGCUGAGGCUAAUGACAUUGUGCUUUCUAUGAUUGCUUUUGUCCAAGUGGCCCUGAAUGCAAGCAAUCAUCAAAUGCAAGAGAAUGUGUCUUGGACCUCCGAAGUUUCCCUGUGAGCCAGGCAGGGCAUCAGGCUGAUUCAGCCACAGAGAGUUCUGAGAAGCUCAAGGUAGGGAAGGUUUCAUGGUCACAGGCUCCCUAGGGAGGGCAUCUGCUCCACAGUCCCACUGCCAGGUAGUGGCCCAGGCUGCCAUCUGAAGACACAUCACUGAGACCAGAACCUCGAUGGUUUUGAAUGACUUCUGGCAAGCCUGCUUGGCUCUCACUCUUCUUCACUCUUUGAAGUGUCCUCCU